GAUCCCAUAGCUCAGUCGGUAGAGCAACUGACUUUUAAUCAGUAGGCCGAUGGUUCGAGUCCAUCUGGGAUCACCA
rnacentral:tRNA from 2 species